rnacentral:sRNA from 1 species
AAAAAGCGUAACAAGGUAUCUGUAGGUGAACCUGCAGAUGGAUCAUUUCGAUGAAAACCUUUUUUCUUGAGGUGUGGCUCGCACCUGUCUAACUAAACUGAGCUACCUUUUUUUAACACGGUUGCAUCGGUUGGCUGUCAAACAGUGCGCGGCGAAAUUUAUAUAUAUUCUUUCGCUGCGCGCUUGGGAGACGGUCGACACUCUACCAAAAAAACACUGUUGAUACCAUAGGAUUUGAACGUAGAUGAACUCGACGGGUAAUGCGGUCGUCUAAAUCUAAAAACAACUUUUGGCAACGGAUCUCUUGGUUCUCCCAUCGAUGAAGAACGCAGCGAAUUGCGAUAAGUAAUGUGAAUUGCAGAAGUGAAUCAUCGAAUCUUUGAACGCACCUUGCGCUCCCGGCAGAUCUAAUCUGGGGAGCAUGCCUGUUUGAGGGCCGCGAAUUGUUUCGAACGACAGCUUUCUUGUUUAUUCGAGAGGGCUGGCGGAUCGGUAUUGAGGGUCUUGCCAUUUUCCACAGUGGCUCCCUCGAAAUGCAUUAGCGCAUCCAUUCGAUAGGCAAGACGGACGAAAGCUCGUUAUUUCGCCCACGUCUUUUCCCUGCCGGGUUUUGAUAAUAUCAGGACUUCGGAGAGGAAGGCGGAGGGUCGAGGAGCUGGACGCGACGUUUUGCUGGUUGGAGUGCUUCUGAACCCCGCCCAUGCCUCGCAAGAGGAAGGGAAGAAUAAUUUCAAUCAUCGGCCUCAGA